AGUGAACGCUGGCGGUAGACCUAACACAUGCAAGUCGAACGGCAGCACAGUAAGAGCUUGCUCUUACGGGUGGCGAGUGGCGGACGGGUGAGGAAUACAUCGGAAUCUACUUUUUCGUGGGGGAUAACGUAGGGAAACUUACGCUAAUACCGCAUACGACCUACGGGUGAAAGCAGGGGAUCUUCGGACCUUGCGCGAUUGAAUGAGCCGAUGUCGGAUUAGCUAGUUGGCGGGGUAAAGGCCCACCAAGGCGACGAUCCGUAGCUGGUCUGAGAGGAUGAUCAGCCACACUGGAACUGAGACACGGUCCAGGCUCCUACGGGAGGCAGCAGUGGGGAAUAUUGGACAAUGGGCGCAAGCCUGAUCCAGCCAUACCGCGUGGGUGAAGAAGGCCUUCGGGUUGUAAAGCCCUUUUGUUGGGAAAGAAAAGCAGCAGGUUAAUACCCCGCUGUUCUGACGGUACCCAAAGAAUAAGCACCGGCUAACUUCGUG
rnacentral:rRNA from 1 species